AAUUUUGCGCAAUGGGCGGAAGCCUGACGCAGCAACGCCGCGUGGAGGAUGAAGGUCUUUGGAUUGUAAACUCCUGUCAGCAGGGAAAAAGGGACUGGGCUUAAUACGUUCAGGACUUGAUUGUACCUGCAGAGGAAGCCCCGGCUAACUCUGUGCCAGCAGCCGCGGUAAUACAGAGGGGGCAAGCGUUAUUCGGAAUUAUUGGGCGUAAAGGGCGCGUAGGCGGCUUUGCAAGUGACGGGUGAAAUCCCUCGGCUUAACCGAGGAACUGCCUGUCAGACUGCAUUGCUUGAGACCGGGAGAGGUGAGUGAAAUUCCCAGUGUAGCGGUGAAAUGCGUAGAUAUUGGGAGGAACACCAGUGGCAAAGGCGGCUCACUGGACCGGUACUGACGCUGAGGCGCGAAAGCGUGGGGAGCAAAC
rnacentral:rRNA from 1 species